UCUUGAAUUGUUAGCGUGAAAAGAAAUUAUACUACAUUUAUUGGAUAUUUUAAUAUGAUGAAUAUUCUAGGUAGAGAAUAUGGAUAGUAUUAUCAUUAUUAGUAUUACGUCAACAUUAACUCAACAAUUGUAUUGCUGACAUGAAGAAAAAGCUAUUUCGAGGUUGUUUUGACCAUUGAUUGCUAAUAACACCUGGCGCCAUGACCUGGAUGCAGAUUCUAAGCAGAUGGGCCAAAAUGGGGGCAGCUAGAGAGACUCGCCUGGAACUGACAAGCCUGGAGGGAGCUGGUUGACUGUUGGCGAGAUGGGACAACAGACGAAGAAUAAACGAACCUACUUGAUUUGAUAAACAUUUUUAUGUUUUUCAGUUUCGUCGGAAGACAUUUCCCACCAACCAUCCUGUCUUGAAAGAAAUAACUUUUGAACCCGAUUAUCUGAUAUUUUCCAGUUUCCCCUCACAACAAUUUGCAUCAAACCUCUUGUCUGGGACAUUUGACAGAUUUCCGGGACAGCGGGACAAGUUCUUCAUUUCCGGGACUGUCCCGGAAAAUCCGGGACGUAUGGCAUCUCCUCAGCUGAAAUCAUCAUCUAGCAGUCACAAUAGUUGAGCGGUUGGAGAGGCAUGCAUUGCGUCCUACUACUGCUCAGACUAUAUUAUGUUUGGCAGACAAAACAUGCUGAUCAAAAAGAAUGUGUACCACAGGGGCCAGUGUUUCCAUUUGAGUGAUUGACAAGAAGAAGAAGAGAUGAGAAAUGUUAUCAUCAUAUUUUAGUCCCUACAUUUAUAGUGUACAGCUCAAUGUAUUGAACCGGUGUUGUAGAAUAUAAUUGGAGAUACAUGCGAACAUUAUAACAUUAUAUAUAAGAUGAUAUUUCAAAAGCAAUAAGAAAUAAAAAGUAUAAAAAGGUCAAAACAGUAAACCUUGUGUUUACAGUGGACAGGUUUAAAGUGGAAGUGACUAGUUAAUUGUUGAUCAUAAGCUGCACUGAUGGAAAAAAUAGUGGGAAAUUACUAUCUAGAAAACUGUUUAACGUACGACAACAGUUGUGGAACUUCAUAAAUGACCGUAUGUAACAGGGCUGGGCAGUUUU